rnacentral:rRNA from 1 species
UACGUAGGGUGCGAGCGUUAAUCGGAAUUACUGGGCGUAAAGCGUGCGCAGGCGGUUGUGCAAGACAGAUGUGAAAUCCCCGGGCUUAACCUGGGAAUGGCAUUUGUGACUGCAUGGCUAGAGUGUGUCAGAGGGGGGUAGAAUUCCACGUGUAGCAGUGAAAUGCGUAGAUAUGUGGAGGAAUACCGAUGGCGAAGGCAGCCCCCUGGGAUAACACUGACGCUCAUGCACGAAAGCGUGGGGAGCAAACAGG